UGCCCUGCCCUAUGCCAGCCGUUCUUCUGGGCACCCGCCCCUAGCCUGCAGCCCCACCUGGCCUGCAGGGUCCAGGGCCCCUUGAUUUGGGUUGGGUUGGGUCUCGUUCCACUUGUUGAGGUUGGCCAGAGAGGAUACCCACAGACUACGUGGUGCGGCGGCCGAGGGCGGUCUAAGGCUAUGGCCAGUAACCCAGACUGUCAGGUGGGAAUGUUCCGCGAUGGAAUAGAGUUAGGCACGGAAGCGUAUUGGUUUUAUAAAGAAAACUUUACUUACACCGCUGAUGGUCGCAGUGCAGGAAAAAAACUUGCUUGAAUUACAGUUGCACACAAACACACGAGGGUAAGAUCUCUCUUCAAACCGAACUGAGAUGAGUCGUCGGAGCACGACUUCACGAGCGCUUAACACAGGGGUACGUCAAUAUAAUCACAAUGACAGGGAGUAGGCUGAUCAGGCCCCUAAGUUUUCCUCCAAGGCACAAGCAGUUUGCUAGGCUCCACAGCGCACUUACAGUUCCCCACAAGAUGGUUGUAGAGUCCUCCAACUUGGGUGAAAAAUGCUCUAACCUUUUAUAUGGCUAGUGAGCCAAUUGCCAGCCGCUACGUUGGAAUAAUUUAGAACUAACCAAUAGUGGGACACAAAUUUGCAUAUGUGUGGCAGGACCUCUUUUGCACCGGGGUUUUCUCUCUGCAGCUGAGAAAACCACUGUGCAAAGAAAGCUCCAUGUGGCGGGAAAAUUCCAAUGUGCCGAGGCACUAAAAAUCAUUGGGUUAUGACACAUGGGAGGUUGCAGGCUUCUGGAGGAUCCUGAGUGCGUUGGGACCCCAAGCCUUAUUGAACUUCCUGUAACUCAGGUCCAGGUCUCUGCUCCUCUGUUCUGCUGCUCCUGGCACUAUGAGAUGCCCUCCUGCACCCUGUAAACAGGGCUGUACUCCUACCCCCUCUGACCUUGGGGGAGGAGGCCUCCUUUAGCCCUUUGGGCUCUGUGGCUUCCGCGGCGGGACACUGAAGUCAUGGCCCUUCUGUCCUGUCUGGCCCUUCUCUCCACGGGGCAGCUUUGACUCCUGAUCGAUACUGCCUGCGGCACCUGUCAGCUGGCAUUCAGGACUUUGCAGAUUGUUUCCGGACUUCAUGCCCCAGCCACCAGCUGUCUGCAGGGAGCACCGCCCAGUCAGCAGGGUUUCCGGUGUUUGUGGUCACCGUUCAUGGUGCCGCCCUAGCAGUUCUGUCCAGAGUCCUGGCCCGUCGCACUGGGCUUUUGGCUGGCCUGGAUGUCAGCAGCCGAACCUGCAUAUCUCUGCCCUCCCUGCUUUCUGAGGGCAGAGUGACCGUGGGUCCAGGUGAGAGUAAAAGAGGGAGAGAAGUUGGGGCCUGUAGUCUCGUCGUCUGACGUGCAGACUUAAAUCCAGUGUCUGUCUGUUUUUUAACCCUCAGAAGGAGAAGCAGACAAGACGGCAGAUGGGCAAGCAUUAGCCACUAAGGAGAGAAGAACCCCCCACCUGCCCAGCGGGACAGAAAGGUCCCUGGAGGGCAGCUGGAGAAAAAGGAACAGAAGCAGGAAAAGAAAGCUAGGGACCUAGAAGUGUGAGUUGGGGUGGGCAGGAGGGAGGGAGCAAAAUGUUUAUGUAUGCUUAAGUAAUUACAGAUGGAGAGUGGUGUGCAUGUCUACAAUUUCCAACACCCAUUAGGAGCGGACAGUCUAAUAAUAAUAGGUCUAAGAAACUUCACCUCGCUGCUGGUGCCUUUCUAUGCUGAGAAGAUUUGGCCGUGGGUCUUUCCUGUUGUGAGCUGGCUGAAGGAUGAACUUUUUCAUUGCGGCUGCCGAUCUGAUCUGUGUUCUUACUUGUGCAAUGCAAAUAUUUCCCCUUCUGAUGGACCAGUGGAAAACGAGCGUGCAACACAUGGUUCCCAGUUUACAAUGGUUAAUGCACUGUAGGACAUCAGUCCUGAUUUCUUUGAGGAACUGAAAAAUAAGAUCCAGUGAAGUUGUGGUGCUUCGGUAUAAUCUGUUGAAGUUCAGCUGUCCCUUGUCUCAAAAGAAAAAAUGGUCCCAAUAAAAAUAAAAUGAUCUGGAAA